rnacentral:lncRNA from 1 species
ACCCGGCGGCGCGGCGUGGGUCGGGAGCGGGCGCCUGGGACUACUUCUCGUUUGAAAGUUUUCAGAGGCCAAAAGUUUGAGCCGGGGCUGCGGAAGGAUCCGGCUCUGGCGGUUGCCGCGCUCGGCGACAACUGGCGACUGAAAUUUGCAUGUGAAUAAGCGGAGGAGCCCGGGGCGGAAUGGGGAGGGCGAGGCCGCGGACAGCCGUGUGCACCGUGCGCUGGGCCGGGCGGGGAGCAGCUGAGGCCACGUUGGGGGACCCCGGGCCCGGGGCAGGGCUCUGGGAGAGUGGCCUAGCCGUGUGUGCGCCCCUAGCCCAGCGGCUUCACUCCCUCCCGAGGGCCCCGUGGCCGCGGCUUUAGGCGUCCAGAGGAUCGAUCGCCGCCAGACAUCCCUGGCCGUGAUUGCCCGAGCACUUGACCGCGAGGGAUGGGGGCGCCGCGGCCUCUGGGCAGGGGACUCCGGGCGCCCCGAGGGAGCAGCCGGGACCAGUGCCUCGCGGACGGAUUGUGCCCCGCUCCCCCAAGGGGGACCCGCGUCGACACGCUCCUCGGUCACCGUCCUCCUCCUGCCCGGGCGCCGCCUGCCUAAGGUGGCCCCAGAAAGCACAAACGGGUCGGGCGGAUCUGCCGCUGGCGCCGGCGCAGCCCUUCCCACGUGCUCCUUCCGGCUGAUUUAUUUCUCCACCACGAUGCCAGGCACGGGCACCCUGUGCCAAGCCUGGUUAAGCGCCAGGAGUCCAAAAUGCCUGCCAUAGUCCCUGCGCAAAGUUCACGGCCUCGUGCCAGGGACAGACAGCGCCCCCUCCCCACCCCAACACAGGGUGGUGAGUGCGAUGGCAGAAGGCGCGUGUCCCGGCGCCCCUCCUGGAGUAGGAGGGCUAAGCCUGCCCUGCGGGGAGACCGAAAGGCUGGGAGGGACCUAGGACUGUGGGGGCCUGGGGGGAGGGCUGCAGAAACCCCAGAGCAUGGUGGCAGAGGCAGGCACAGAAAGCAGGACAAAUCUCACACCUGACCCCAGCAAGCCUUUCCUGGCACACCUCUUGCCAAAUGCUGAGCACUCUGGAAACAGCCAGUGCAGGCGGCCUGUCCCGCCCCUGUAGCUGCUGCUGGGAGCCUCCCUCGCCUGCGUCCUCCCAGAAUCUGGCCUCACUUCUGCAGGCCUGGGGUAACAUCUUGGGGUCAGCGCCCCAGGAGAGGAGGCGCCUGGAGGCAGCAGAGAUGUUUAUGUAACAGCAGCCAGGCAGCCUGGAGGAGCAGAUUUUCCAUAGAAGGAAGCGCGGGGCUGUGCAGCUCCCAGGCUGAGGACUCUGCCCACCACGACGUCCUCUGCUCCUGGUGGGUGGGGGUGGGGUGGGGCAUAGGGAGGCCCGAAGGCCUCAGGCCUGGUGCUGAUCGGGUGCGGGUGCGACUGCCUGUGUGCCUCCAUUGGCAUCUCUGCCUGUGGGCCCCAGGCCAGAAGUAAUGGCCCAUGUAGCCCAGGCCCGGGGGCCAGUCCUCAGCAUUUUGCGGAGGGGCGGCCUGGGAGGGGAGGAGGGGAUCCCUGGAUAGGGGGUCUCCCCUGGUCUGCCCCAGCUGUGCCGACAGCACCUCCACCUUGGGCCUCCAUCCUCUACCAGCAGAGAAGAGAGUGGCCCAUUCGGUGUCCACCCGUCAGGCCACCCAGCAGCCAGGCACGCUCAUAAGCCCGCGUUACGGAUGGUGCGGCCGGGUGCACAGGCCCGAGGGAAGCACAGGCCUCGGCCUCCCAGCUCCCAACCCCUGCACCACCCACAGCCGGGAGUACCCCAUGGACAGCUGUGGCCGAGGAGAAGCCAGGGAUGAGGGGGAUGGGCCUCACCUCCCCACCAGCCUGGGAAGGGGGUAGGCCCCUGGCAAGUAGGUGAGAAGCUUUUUCAUUCACAAGUUGUCCGGGCUCCCCAUUCCUCUUUGUCAGGCCAGCGGGUGUGGGCAGUCGGGGGAGGCUGGGGUCCUGACACAACAGGAGUACAUCUGCUGGCCUAGGGCCUGGAGACCUUCUCCUACAGGUCGGGAGGCAGCCCUGGGCAGCGGGCAUUGCGGGGACUAAAGAGAAACAAGAGCAGGUUGUGUGCAGGGCACCCCAGCCACUCCAGAAACCCAAUGGGAGGGUGGGGGCUAGGACCCCAAGAAGCUGAAUUGGGGUGCAGUGCCGCCAGGCCUCCCCUGUAGGAGUCACUUUGGGCUUCCUGUCCCAACUUGUGGUGGGAGCUGGGGCAAGGUUCCAGGGGUACCCCGAAUGAAUGGGGCUGUUCCCAAGCUGGCCAGGGAGCCUGGAAGCAGAUGAGAUGGGGCCGCAGAGCCUGGUUUGCGGAGGGGAGAGGCAGACGUGUCCUGCAGCCCUCUCUUCUUCAGAGGCCCCCUGCGGGUGCUGAGGGGAGAGUGGCUUAGGCGUUGCACCCCAGGAGACUGAACUGGGUCAGUUCCCCCUUGUUUGCUGCCAGAGAAAUGGGGGUACCAUUGUCAGGGUGAGCUAAGGAGGCCCUGCUGACAUUGGCCCAACCAGGCCCCUCCUUUGCGGCUGCUGUGGGGACUUUCGAGAGCAGAGCACACCCCUAAGUGCGUGGAGAGGUAAGCACAGCUGGUGAGCACACGGGGACAGCGACGGAGCUCAUGGAGACCCAGGUGACCUUAAAACACCCCAGGGCCGGCUCCGGCCCCAGAGAGAUGUGGUCCGAGUAGAGGGGGGUCAGCAGUGACCUGGUGGGUGGGUGUAUUUGAGGGGUGCCUGUGUUGAAAGCUCUGCAGUAGAUUCUAAGGAGCAGCCAGGGCUGAGACUCCCGGUGCUGAGCCCAAGGCCCCUUUCCUUCCUGCAGGAGUUCAUCUUGGCUCUUGCAGCCCCCAUGACCCUGUGGCGCUGGGGGGCGGCUAGCAUGAUGCUCCCCAUUUUUCAGGAGGGAAGCUGAGGCUCAGAGACAUCAUGAGGAUGCCAGCUCAAGGCCCAGCCAGGCCUUGGUCCUCAGCUGCUGUCAUCCAGUAGGGUAAGUGGGACCCCCAGGAGGUGUUGGGGGACACUCCUCCCCUCCCCCACACUCACAGUCUGUUCACCGCCCAAGGCAGCAGGCUGGACUCGGUGCAGGGACCAUGGCUUGGCGUGGCCAGGUUGGAGUGGCCCCUGGGACUGAAAGCAGGGGGCGUGGGGGCUCUGAGGCGGGGCCGAGUGCGGGGACGUCCUGUGGCGGGUACCCUGCUGGGUCCUGGGUGGGGGCCACCACCAGGCAGCUGUGGGAACAUUCCAGACCACCUAGGAGUAGGGCCCCUUCACCGUUUGAAGCUGACUGUAAAAAACAUCUGACCUGUGUGCAAAGCUCAAGCCCAGAGGCCUCCAGGGUGUCCAGCCUCCAGGGUGCCUCCUACGCAGCCUCCACGUCCCCAUCCACUGCAGCCCCUGACCAUCGGGCACACCGUGGGGCCUUCGCUGGCCGCCGGGCCUCAGGUUCUGCUGCACCAAGUGAUUUUUAAAGCCCCAUCUGCCUUUCUCCACUUAUAAAGAACUUGGGACAUUUCCUCGAGGUUGGGCAUUUUUCCAGAUGUGGUUUCAGUGUCUCGCUUGCUACCUGGUCCCCUGUGCUGGGCGGUCCGCUGUGACGCACCUGGCAGUCCUUGCUCUAGGAUGGAUUCGGGCCGGCCCUUGUUCUGAGAACAGAGAACGGCCCUUGUUCUGAGGAGGCUGGGGUCUGGAAUCUGCUUCCUGGUCCCCUGCUGUGUGCAGACAGCCA